CCCGUGCCCUAAAUGGAGCGGUGAAACUGUCUCCUUCUCCACGGCCACUGCAACUGCGGCGUGUUCCUUGGCGAAAGCCGGCAGCGGCGGCGGCGGCAUUUUCCUCCGUCGAGCUCUUAUCGCUGCGGCGGUUUCCUCGGCGAACGGUUGAUGCUGCGGCUUCCUCUCCGUCGGCGAACGGUGACAGCGCCCGGGAUAUAGGACGCUUGGUAGUGUCUAAACCCACCAACUACAAUAGAAAAAUAAGUGGAAUUUAGUGUCAGUGCGCAGGUGUUAUUUGAAGCCAUUAUUUCAGUGGUGGAGAAUUGCUUGGAUGUGAGCAUGAGAAUGGGUAACUAAUCAUAGGUACACUUUGUCAACUCGCAAACACCAUUCAGAGACUUAUCUCUGAAAGAAAUGGCUGAUUGGAACUGAAUGCAUGUGGAUUAACAUGAGUGGUGGAGGAAUGUUGUCUGAGACAGAUGAUUAGUUGAAAGUUUUCAACAUCCUUGAUUUGAGGCAGAGGAGGAAUUUGGAUUGGAGAGGGCCGAAAUAAGACUACUUUUCUUGUAUUUUUCUGCAAACAGUACGUGAUACUGACUCAAAAGACAAUGUUUUUGGUGCAGAAGAGGCUCUUUUGCCUUCUCUCGUGUAACAAGCCCACCAUCCAUCUUUCCUCCUAUCAACUCUGCAGUCUCUUUAGCUUUUCCACUCCUGAAGACCACAGUUCAAGUCCUUCCAUUGAGUUCUUUAAGCAGAGCGGUUGGAGUGAUGCACAAGUUAUGAAGCUUACCAAGAGGUCACCCCAGUUGCUGCAUGCUAAUGUAGAGACUGCCCUGAAGCCCAGGAUGAGAUCUUUGCAGGACAUGGGAUUUUCUGACACUGAAAUAGUUCAGCUGGUUUCCAUAUGUCCUCAUGCGCUCCUAUUUCGUGACAUCAAACCGAGGAUCAACUUCUGGAGGUCACUAUUAGGUUCGAAUGAGAGGCUUCUGAAAGCCUGCAAGAGGAACAUGUUUAUUCUUAGUUAUAACAUUGCUCGGACGAUAGAACCCAAUAUAUCUCUCUUGAGGGAACAUGGCAUCAGUGACAAGCGUAUCAUGCAUAUGGUGGCGACAUUGCCAGGCUGUUUUGGUCGACUAGACAAAUUAAAGGAGGUUAUCAAAUAUAUUGAGGAAUUGGGUGUCCCACGUGACUCUGGAGUAUAUAUGUGUGCACUUCGUGUAGUCAUGAGCGUGAACAAAUCUAGUUUUGAUGCUAUCAGUGCGACUCUGAUGAGCUUUGGGUGUUCCCAGCCUGACAUCGUUGCUGCAUUCAGGAAGUGCCCAUACAUUUGGGCACUCUCAAAGAAGACCAUAUGUGACAAGAUGACAUUCCUGAUGAAGGAAGCUGGUUUUGAGCUGACAUCUGUCAUUCGCCGUCCCGUGAUUCUUACACUCAGUUUGGAUAAGAGGCUGAGACCUCGAUAUGAGGUUAUGAAUUUUCUUAAGCAGAAUAAAUUGCUGGAUGAAGGACAUAGUCUACUAUCCUUCAUACUACUAUCUGAGGAGAAGUUCAGAAAGAAAUAUCUUUUCCGGCACAAGGAGAAAUUUACUUCUCUCUAUGAUUCCUAUGUUGCCGCUGUGCAGGGAAUGCCACACGUUGUUACUUGAAAUUUAAAUUUUAAUUUAAAAUGAUCAAGUUCAUACUGACUGCA